AACGAACGCUGGCGGCAUGCCUAACACAUGCAAGUCGAACGAGACCUUCGGGUCUAGUGGCGCACGGGUGCGUAACGCGUGGGAACCUGCCCUUAGGUUCGGAAUAACUCCCCGAAAGGGGUGCUAAUACCGGAUAAUGUCUUCGGACCAAAGAUUUAUCGCCUUUGGAUGGGCCCGCGUUGGAUUAGCUAGUUGGUAGGGUAAAAGCCUACCAAGGCGACGAUCCAUAGCUGGUCUGAGAGGAUGCUCAGCCACACUGGGACUGAGACACGGCCCAGACUCCUACGGGAGGCAGCAGUGGGGAAUAUUGGACAAUGGGCGAAAGCCUGAUCCAGCAAUGCCGCGUGAGUGAUGAAGGCCUUAGGGUUGUAAAGCUCUUUUACCCGGGAUGAUAAUGACAGUACCGUGAGAAUAAGCUCCGGCUAACUCCGUG
rnacentral:rRNA from 1 species